GGAUGUGAGGGCGAUCUGGCUGCGACAUCUGUCACCCCAUUGAUCGCCAGGGUUGAUUCUGCUGAUCUGGCUGGCUAGGCGGGUGUCCCCUUCCUCCCUCACCGCUCCAUGUGCGUCCCUCCCGAAGCUGCGUGCUCAGUCGAAGAGGACGACCUUCCCCGAUAGAGGAGAGGACCGUUCUUCGGUCAAGGGUAUACGAGUAGCUGCGCUCCCCUGCUAGAACCUCCAAACAAGCUCUCAAGGUCCAUUUCUGAUAGUAUUGCCCCAACCAGUAGAAUCAGGGACAGAGAGGUUGUGAGAGCCAGCAUUUAUGGCAUUUGCCCGUAUUU
rnacentral:snRNA from 1 species